ensembl:snRNA U6 U6 spliceosomal RNA
GUGCUCACUUCAGCAGUACAUAUACUGAAACUGGACCGAUCCAGAGAUAAGCAUGGCCUCUGUGCAAGGAUGGCACACAAAUUCAUGAAGUGUUCCACAUUUUC